AAAAGCGGAGGAAAAGAAACCAACAGGGAUUGCCUCAGUAACGGCGAGUGAAGCGGCAACAGCUCAAAUUUGAAAUCUGGCUCUUUUAGGGUCCGAGUUGUAAUUUGUAGAAGAUGCUUCGGGUGUGGCUCCGGUCUAAGUUCCUUGGAACAGGACGUCAUAGAGGGUGAGAAUCCCGUACGUGACCGGUGGCCUUCGCCCAUGUGAAGCUCUUUCGACGAGUCGAGUUGUUUGGGAAUGCAGCUCAAAAUGGGUGGUAUAUUUCAUCUAAAGCUAAAUAUUGGCCAGAGACCGAUAGCGCACAAGUAGAGUGAUCGAAAGAUGAAAAGCACUUUGGAAAGAGAGUUAAACAGUACGUGAAAUUGUUGAAAGGGAAGCGCUUGCAAUCAGACUUGCACGCCGUCGAUCAUCCGAGGUUUUCCCCGGUGCACUCGGCGGUGUUCAGGCCAGCAUCGGUCUGGGUGGUUGGAUAAAGGCCCCAGGAAUGUGGCUCCCUUCGGGGAGUGUUAUAGCCUGGGGUGCAAUGCAGCCUAUCCGGACCGAGGACCGCGCUCGGCUAGGAUGCUGCGUAAAUGGCA
rnacentral:rRNA from 1 species